rnacentral:rRNA from 1 species
AGUCGACGGGCUCAUAUUGAAACCUAGUGAUGUAUGAGUUAGUGGCGGACGGGUGAGUAACGCGUGGAGAACCUGCCGUAUACUGGGGGAUAACACUUAGAAAUAGGUGCUAAUACCGCAUAAGCGCACAGCUUCGCAUGAAGCAGUGUGAAAAACUCCGGUGGUAUACGAUGGAUCCGCGUCUGAUUAGCUGGUUGGCGGGGUAACAGCCCACCAAGGCGACGAUCAGUAGCCGGCCUGAGAGGGUGAACGGCCACAUUGGGACUGAGACACGGCCCAAACUCCUACGGGAGGCAGCAGUGGGGAAUAUUGCACAAUGGGGGAAACCCUGAUGCAGCGACGCCGCGUGAGUGAAGAAGUAUUUCGGUAUGUAAAGCUCUAUCAGCAGGGAAGAAAAUGACGGUGCCUGACUAAGAAGCCCCGGCUAACUACGUGCCAGCAGCCGCGGUAAUACGUAGGGGGCAAGCGUUAUCCGGAUUUACUGGGUGUAAAGGGAGCGUAGACGGCAGCGCAAGUCUGAAGUGAAAUCCCAUGGCUUAACCAUGGAACUGCUUUGGAAACUGUGCAGCUGGAGUGCAGGAGAGGUAAGCGGAAUUCCUAGUGUAGCGGUGAAAUGCGUAGAUAUUAGGAGGAACACCAGUGGCGAAGGCGGCUUACUGGACUGUAACUGACGUUGAGGCUCGAAAGCGUGGGGAGCAAACAGGAUUAGAUACCCUGGUAGUCCACGCCGUAAACGAUGAUUACUAG